rnacentral:tRNA from 1 species
GGAGGGGUGGCCGAGCGGCUGAAGGCGCUGCCCUGCUAAGGCAGUAUGCCCUCGUUGGCAUCGGAGGUUCGAAUCCUCCUCCCUCCG